UAGCGGUUGUAUGAAGUAACAGGCUUCAUAAGCUAUCCCGUAUCUUUUGGCUGCUCCCUGUGUGUGUGGGGUCGCCACAGCGGACCAACUGGUCCGCACACCAACUUGGCACAGGUUUUACGCCGGAUGCCCUUCUUGACCCAACCCUCCCAUUUUAUCCGGUCUUGGGACCGGCACUGCAUCCAGUGGCUAGGGGUUGGGCACUGGCUGGGAAUCGAACCCGGGUCUUCCGCAUGUCAUCAUGAAAUAGAAGUCUUCAGUAACAUCUAAAACAAGAUGGCAGCAGCUGAAGGUGCUCCGGCAGUCCAGCGGCCUGUGCUGCGGAAAUGCAGCAGCAGCCUUGUGGAACCACCUACUAGUGAGUGACCACCUUUAAUGAUGUCAUUUUCAAUGGCGUCC